rnacentral:rRNA from 2 species
GGACUACUGGGGUUUCUAAUCCCGUUCGCUACCCUGGCUUUCGCGCCUCAGCGUCAGGAGGGACCCAGCGGACCGCUUUCGCCACCGGCGUUCCUUCCGAUAUCAACGCAUUUCACCGCUCCACCGGAAGUUCCGUCCGCCCCUAUCCCGCUCUAGCCACGCCGUAUCCGAGGCCCUUUUCCGGUUGGGCCGAAAGAUUUCACCCCGGACGUGCGUGGCCGCCUACGCGCCCCUUAAGCCCAGUGAUUCCGAACAACGUUCGCACGGUUCGUCUUACCGCGGCUGCUGGCAC